GCAAGUCGUUGUUGAAUUGGAAAAGUUUUUGGAUAGCUAAUUAUGCAAGCUAAUGAUUCGGUGACUUAUAACAUUUAUAUAAGUCCUGCAGCUCAACUCAUCAUCAGACUCCUGACUUUCUCAACAACUUUAUCUUUUUCCUUUAGUGUAUUAUCUUGGACUACCGAUGUUGUCUAUAUAAAAGAAGCUAUGGCUUUGACUCAACUUAAAGGGGAUGUCCGCUUAUCAAAGACAAGCAUAUAUAUACAGAUAAGCAUAUAUACACAAAC